UCGUUUUACCGUUUCUGUGCCUGUGAGAAGAACUCAGGUUUAUCGUGAUCGUGUUCUUUGAGUCAUUCGUAAUGGGAUAGUUUGUAUCCUUCCUUUCAGAAUCAUUGAGGAAUUUUACCGUGUAAAAGUUGUCUGAGCGCACGUUUGCAUGCGUGAAGCGGCGUGCUGCGCAGCCAUGGACGCCGUGAAUUCCUCGGCAGUCUUCUGAAUUUUCUUUUGAUUUUUGAUCUUUUCAUUUGUAAAUCUGUGCUACCCUCGUCAGCCCGCGUUUGCCCGGUUUUUUCACAGUACGGGUAUUUUCUGUAGCACUCCUCCGGUCUUGUAAUCCGGCCGAACCACUAACUUUACCAAUUUGUCGGCGAAUCGUGUCGCUGCAUCCUGUCGCAGCGCCGCCCGCCGCGCGAUGGAGAGGCAAACCCCCGUGUCCCUCCAUCAGUCUGCCCCCCGCCUCCCUAUCCACCCGCGACGCCGGCCUGGGGCGGCGCGUCACCGGGCCCCCUCUGGAGACCCUCUGGGAGGUGUACCCCCAACAGCGCUGGCGCCUGGGGCAGCCCGCGCAGGACCCCGCGCGCCAACUGUAGGACGACGACAGCAUCGUCAUCUUGUCCGACUCCAUCCCCAAGUCCCGCCACCAUUAUUUAGUCCUUCCCUUGGAGCCCCACGACACCGUCCAGGAUUUGACGGCGGAGCAUGUGCCGUUGUUGCGGCAUAUGUAUGAUCCAGCGGGUGCAGUGCUUUGCGGAUGAGCAGAUUUUACCGGAAACGCACUAUCCGCUGGUGCUGGGGUUUCAUAGGAUUCAGACGUUUAUUUGAGUGCAUAUAAAUAUGCGUCUUAUUACCGUGGAUUUUCAGGGGACAGAAUAAUAAUGCGGAAAUCCUUCUUCCCACUCAAGUUUAUAUAGGGACCGGUUUUCGUACCGGGUUUAUUACAGACACGGAGACACCCAAUUUUACAAAUCACGGUGGUGCCGACGGACUAGCGCUCCUUCAGCCACAGUGCGCUUUUCAUGCCGUCGGACACGCCACCGACCUGCACACCGCCGAGACGGAGGAUGCAGAUGCCGGUUACGUCUGUAAAUUCCAGGACGAAUAAAUUAAAAUUGCCGUUAAUUUUUUAAAAAAUUAAAAAUAAAAUUCUCAGUCUACUCAUGAUGAAUUUGUGAUGGAUACAGUU